AACGAACGCUGGCGGCAUGCCUAACACAUGCAAGUCGAACGAGAGAAUCGGGCUUAGUGGCGCACGGGUGGGUAAAGGGGGGGAUACUGCCUAUAGGUUUGGCAUAACGCGCGGAAUGGGGUGCUAAAACGGGAGCUUGUACCCGGACCAAAGAUUGAUAGACAUUGGGUGGGCCUGGGUGGGAUUAGUAUGUUGGUAGGGUAAAAGGCUACCAAGGGGACGAUCCAUAGCUGGUUUGAGAGGCUGAGAAGCCACACUGGGACUGGGACACGGCCAAGACUCCUACGGGAUGCAGCAGUGGGUAAUACUGGACUGUCGGCUGAGUCCUGAUGCAGCAAGGCCUCUAGAGUGAUUAAGGUCUGAGGGUUGGAAAGCUCUUUUACCCGUGAUGAUAAUGACAGUACCGAGAGAAUAAGCUCCGGCUAACUCCGUG
rnacentral:rRNA from 1 species